CACUGACCGGCGCUCGAAGUGAAAACGGCACAGCUGUUGUCAAGCUCUACCUGGUUUACCUGUAUCUGCUACAACAAAUGUUCACAAUGAAGUGUGAAAACUACGCUGUCACACAACUCCAUAUCAGCGAGCAACGUGCAAAGUCAUCAGCUGCUCCACAUCAGCUUCAUCAGUUACUGGUGUUACCGAAGACGCGCCGCCAUGUUGGAAGAUCCUAACUGAUGUGGUUUUAAUGUGUUCAAAUUGUGCUAUAUACCAGAUCACAGUUCUUAUUCUUUGAGCAUUGUGGUUUGUACUUCGCAACUGCUUGUGGCAGUGAUGUAGUGUUACAUAAUCAGGCAGCAAAAUGAAUCCCAACACCAUUAUACAGUAAACAAAAUCCAUUAUGAACAGAGAUUUGUUUAUUUUCAAAAAAGUAUUCAAGUUGCACAAGGUAACUUUUAGUAGCAAGAUACGUCCUUUAACCAGACAUCAGAAAAACAAGGUCAGACGUGACUCUGUCUUCCCAUUAAUGGCAGCUAUAUGGCUAGAUGUGGUGGUAGACAAUAUCUUAUAUCUGUCUUCAUUAGCAGUUUACAAGCCAAGCUACAAGACUUUCAACUCUUUGAAUGCCCACUAAUAAAGGACAGGUUUGGAUUCUGUCAAGUCUAUUUUACUACAAUACUUACAGGCGAUAAGUGUGUUGAAAGAGCUAAUGGACACUGUAAUCAUCCCUCCUGUUUAUACUGGCCAUGAAGUGAUCUCUUCAUAUUGUGUUUAUACUAUAACUGAUGAGGGACAAAAUCUGCAGUCCUGGUUUUAUGCAAAGACACUUUCUUAAGUUUAGCUGCAGCUAGUAUGAGGAUACAGCAGUCUGUGUUAGACAAAUCAAGCGGGCAUCUUCCAAAGUUAGUCUCUUUAAUUCAAAAUUCCCUCUCUGUGUUUUCUUGCUAUGCGGUGGCAGAGGGAUACUUCCUGGUAGUUGCAUGUUGGUUUGUUGCUGGGACACAACACUGGCAAAAAACCUAAAAGCCAUUUACCAGGAUGAAGAUACCAUCUCGAUUUGGCUAACUAAAACCUUCAAAAAGUCACAGAAUUUGAAAUUCUUCCUUUCAAAGCUGUGUUUCAAUGCAUAGACCUAAUAAUCAAAUAUUCAGUGUGUGUGGCCAUGCAAGGCCUGCCUAUACUGUCUUACCUAUUACCCUAAUUGUGCUGGAAUUUUCCAGGGUCAAAACUUAAAUGUUUUUGCUUUCAAAUCUCAUAGCAAUUUUGCGAUUCAAGUCCAAAUUUUUAUUUAUUUGUUUAUUGAACAGGGACAGCGCGCAGUUUUUUAGCUGUACCAGAGUUAGCUAUAAGCUAAUUUUCAUCUCUAGUCCCUUAAAGGUCCAGUGUGUAACAUUUAGGAGGAGCUAUUGGCAGAAAUGGAAUAUAAAAUUUAUAGGUAUGUUUUCAUUAGUGUAUAAUCACCUGAAAAGAAGAAUCG